AGUGAACGCUGGCGGUAGGCCUAACACAUGCAAGUCGAACGGCAGCACAGUAAGAGCUUGCUCUUACGGGUGGCGAGUGGCGGACGGGUGAGGAAUACAUCGGAAUCUACUUUUUCGUGGGGGAUAACGUAGGGAAACUUACGCUAAUACCGCAUACGACCUACGGGUGAAAGCAGGGGAUCUUCGGACCUUGCGCGAUUGAAUGAGCCGAUGUCGGAUUAGCUAGUUGGCGGGGUAAAGGCCCACCAAGGCGACGAUCCGUAGCUGGUCUGAGAGGAUGAUCAGCCACACUGGAACUGAGACACGGUCCAGACUCCUACGGGAGGCAGCAGUGGGGAAUAUUGGACAAUGGGCGCGAGCCUGAUCCAGCCAUACCGCGUGGGUGAAGAAGGCCUUCGGGUUGUAAAGCCCUUUUGUUGGGAAAGAAAAGCAGCAGGUUAAUACCCCGCUGUUCUGACGGUACCCAAAGAAUAAGCACCAGCUAACUUCGUG
rnacentral:rRNA from 1 species